rnacentral:rRNA from 1 species
CCUACGGGUGGCAGCAGUGAGGAAUAUUGGUCAAUGGACGAGAGUCUGAACCAGCCAAGUAGCGUGAAGGAUGACUGCCCUAUGGGUUGUAAACUUCUUUUAUAUGGGAAUAAAAUGUUCCACGUGUGCGUUUUUGUAUGUACCUUAUGAAUAAGGAUCGGCUAACUCCGUGCCAGCAGCCGCGGUAAUACGGAGGAUGCGAGCGUUAUCCGGAUUCAUUGGGUUUAAAGGGUGCGUAGGCGGGCCUUUAAGUCAGUUGUGAAAGUUUGGGGCUCAACCCCAACAAUCCAGUGGAUACUGGCAGUCUUGAGUGCGGUUGAGGUAGGCGGAAUUCGUGGUGUAGCGGUGAAAUGCUUAGAUAUCGCGAAGAACCCCGAUUGCGAAGGCAGCUUGCUAUGCUGUGACUGACAUUGAGGCUCGAAAGGGUGGGUAUCAAACAGGAUUAGAUACCCGUGUAGUC